rnacentral:tRNA from 2 species
AAGAAUUUAAGUUAACAAAACUAUUGACCUUCAAAGUCAAAAAUAGACCAUAUCUAAGUCUUA